UACGUAGGGUGCAAGCGUUUGUCCGGAAUUAUUGGGCGUAAAGAGCUCGUAGGCGGUUUGUCGCGUCUGCUGUGAAAACCCGAGGCUCAACCUCGGGCCUGCAGUGGGUACGGGCAGACUAGAGUGCGGUAGGGGAGAUUGGAAUUCCUGGUGUAGCGGUGGAAUACGCAGAUAUCAGGAGGAACACCAAUGGCGAAGGCAGAUCUCUGGGCCGUAACUGACGCUGAGGAGCGAAAGCAUGGGGAGCGAACAGG
rnacentral:rRNA from 1 species